CUGGACGCAGGCCUCUCCCAUCCCCCACUCAAUGAUCUCGGGCGGUUCUCGCACCUGCACUAGGUAAGCGAGCCUGCCCUGUGCGGGGGGUUUUCUUGCACGUACCGGGGUCUCCCAGCCUCCCCCAGGUUUCCCUCUUUAUCCAUGACCCCCGCUGGGACUGCUUCCACCACCUGGGCCUCCUGCAUCCCAUCAGUAACAGGUUCUUCACGGUGUGAGAGCUCCCAUCCCUGUGCAUGUUUACUACGUGGGGUUUGAGAGGCGACAAACUAAAUUUCAAAAACCAUCAGCACUGAAGAUGCUAUUAACUUACAGCGAACUUACUCUUCAUCUCCUGCCCCCUUCACCCUCGUUGGAGUCUGACCUUCCCUCUGUCCCCGUGCGCGCCAGCUCGGUGCACCUGUGGCGGGGGUGGCGGGCCAGCCCCAAGGCUAUAUGGAUUCUGUUCUUAGGUUCCGCAGAAGGUUAAGUCCUGUCUUUCAACUGCAGGCUACAGGCUGGCAAAGCCAAAGGAGCAAUCCGAAUAGCACCCUCUGUUAGGCGGCAACGAAUUUUAUAACGUUUAAAUGAUCCCUAACGACUUUGGGGGAGAAAAAUCCAAGGUAGCACCCUCAGCACAGUGGAGUAGAAUUUCCUGGGAUGACAGAAAUCGUCUGUGUGUCCUGUUCAAUACAGUAGCCACUAACGAUGGUGCUGGAACCUUGGCAUUGUGGCUGGUGUGACUGAGAAACUGAAUUGUUCGUUUCAUUUUCUUUAAAUUUUAAAGCCCACAUUUGGCUGGUGGCCGCCAUAUUGGUCAGCAUUAACAGGAUCUACAGUGUGGAUGAACCUGAAGACAUGAUGCUAAACAAUAGGAGGCCAUCACAAAAGGACAAACACCAUAGGCGGCCCGCCCAAGAGGACAGUCUUCAUUGGUUGGAUUGGCCUACGGAAAUAGUGAAUGGCUGCGCCAACCGGGGAGCAGAGAGAUUCAGGUGUAACUUGAAGACGUCCGAUGAAAGACUGCAUGAAGUACCUAACCCUCAGUCUGAUCACGUGGAAGAGGUGGGAGCUGUUAGAUUAUAGAGUGAAGCUCUGAAACAAGAGCUUAUGUACGAAGACAGUCCACUGAGAAGCCCAAAUAGUGUGACUCUCCAUAAGCAUAAGAAGUUAUUCUACCGCCGUCUUAAUAUCCUCAAUCAUUUGCGUUAGUGAAAAUGAAGAUACACUCAACGAUGUUAUCCAAAGAAUGAAUGAGGUUAACUGAAUAUGACCAACCUGUAGACGUUGCUGAUUGCUGGACUGCACACAAUAGCCAUGUGUUCUGCAUAUUGUUUUCUAAGGGGCUGUGAAUUGCAGUUUUGAUUAACUGUACUAAUUCUCAGACUUAGACUCAAACUAGGAGCUAUGUAGUUCUUAGACCCUUUCAUGUCCUUUAUAAGCCUUCUUUGGAGGUCUCGAAAUGACUUGCAAAAACUGAAAUUAGUUUUCUUUCUAAUCCCCUAGAGAUCAAUGCGGUGAAUUUCAUCAUGCCAUGAUGAUUAAACAUGCUGAAAUGAGUCAUGAUAUAAUUAGGAAUUUCUUUGUCCAAAUCAAGCCCCAUGAACUAUACCUAAC
rnacentral:lncRNA from 1 species